rnacentral:rRNA from 1 species
CGAACGCUGGCGGCGUGCUUAACACAUGCAAGUCGCCCGGAAAGGCCCCUUUGGGGGUACUCGAGUGGCGAACGGGUGAGUAACACGUGAGUAACCUGCCCUUGACUUCGGGAUAACUUCAGGAAACUGGGGCUAAUACCGGAUAGGAAUCCUUGCUGCAUGGUGGGGGUUGGAAAGCUUCGGCGGUUUUGGAUGGACUCGCGGCUUAUCAGCUUGUUGGUGGGGUAGUGGCUUACCAAGGCUUUGACGGGUAGCCGGCCUGAGAGGGCGACCGGCCACAUUGGGACUGAGAUACGGCCCAGACUCCUACGGGAGGCAGCAGUGGGGAAUAUUGCACAAUGGGCGGAAGCCUGAUGCAGCAACGCCGCGUGCGGGAUGACGGCCUUCGGGUUGUAAACCGCUUUCAGCAGGGGCGAAGCUUGUGGUGACGGUACCUGCAGAAGAAGCACCGGCUAACUACGUG